rnacentral:rRNA from 1 species
GACGUAGGGGGCGAGCGUUGUCCGGAUUUAUUGGGCGUAAAGCGCACGUAGGCGGCUUCGCAAGUCGGAUGUGAAAUCCCUCGGCUCAACCAAGGACGUGCAUCCGAAACUGCAAAGCUUGAGUACAGAAGAGGAUCGCGGAAUUCCCGGUGUAGCGGUGAAAUGCGCAGAUAUCGGGAGGAACACCAAUGGCGAAGGCAGCUUGCUGGGACGGUACUGACGCUGAGACGCGAAAGCGUGGGGAGCAAACAGG